rnacentral:rRNA from 1 species
UUAUCUUAGUGGCGGACGGGUGAGUAACGCGUGGGUAACCUGCCUUACACUGGGGGAUAACACUUAGAAAUAGGUGCUAAUACCGCAUAACAGGAGAAGACGCAUGUCUUUUCCUUGAAAACUCCGGUGGUGUAAGAUGGACCCGCGUCUGAUUAGCUGGUUGGCGGGGCAACGGCCCACCAAGGCGACGAUCAGUAGCCGGCCUGAGAGGGUGAACGGCCACAUUGGGACUGAGACACGGCCCAAACUCCUACGGAAGGCAGCAG